UACGUAGGCAGCAAGCGUUGUUCGGAGUUACUGGGCGUAAAGAGUGCGUAGGCGGUCCUCUAAGUUUGGUGUGAAAUCUCCCGGCUCAACCGGGAGGGUGCGCCGAAAACUGGAGGGCUCGAGUGUGGGAGAGGUAAGCGGAAUUCCUGGUGUAGCGGUGAAAUGCGUAGAUAUCAGGAGGAACACCUGUGGUGUAGACGGCUUACUGGACCAUUACUGACGCUGAGGAGCGAAAGCGUGGGGAGCGAACAGG
rnacentral:rRNA from 1 species